UCAUCGCUUCUAAUGAUGUAGUUUGCUGAGGGAUAGGGGCACUAUAAGUAGGAAUAGGUGGAGCUAAUGAUUGGUUUAUUUGUGAUGGACCUAUCCUGGAAAAAUUCUUCUGAAAACCUGGUGGACCACCUUGAUGCUGAAUAGGUUCAUUUUGCUUGUAUGAGAAAUUUGGAUGGAACCUAUUAUCAGGGUGGUAGACUGGGCUGAAUGAAUUGGGAGUGGGCUUCUUGAAGGCACUAUAUGAGUUAAGAGCAUUUGCCUGUUCAGCCUUAAUGUUGGGUAAACUAGGACAACACUCCACUAGAUGCUC
rnacentral:lncRNA from 1 species